CAGGGCUGGAGACUGGACCCCACAUGCUGCAGACUGACCUUUGCAGCUUCUGGCAGCCUAUCACUGAGUACCAGGCUGCUCAUCAUCUCUUGGCCUCCAUAACGUGCCGACCCCAGGGCUCAGCUCUUGGUGUGCAUCUCGUUCCUGCCUAAACUCACUCCCUUGGUGAUCUCACCAGUCUUGUGACUUUAAAUACCAUCUCCGAGCUGAUGGCUCCUAAAUGGCUCGCUCCCUUACACUCCAGACUCAAACGUCCUCCUCCCUUCUUGUCCUCUCCACCACUGUUGUCCAUCUCAAGCUCAACAUGCCCCCAGUCAAGCUCCAAUGAAACAAGAAAGACUCCCCCUCCACACCUGCCCCUCCUGUACCUUUCUCUAUCUCGGUUAGCAGCAACUCCAACCUUCUGCUUGCUCAGCCAAAAACUCUGGAAUCACCCUUGACUCCUAUCUUCUCUCUCCUCACAUCUAAUGCAUCAGAAACUCCUGUUGGUUCCAUCUUCAAAACACACCCCGAAUCUGAACCUCCUCCUCACCUCCACUGUCACCACCUGGUGCUGGCCACCGUCAGCUGCUGCCUGGGCUGUUGUAGGCGCCUCCUCCCUGGUCCCUCUGCUUCUGCCCCGGCAGAGGAAGGUUCCCCCUUGACUUUGAGGACUGAAAGAGGGGCAAUGGAGGGGCCUUGACCAGAGGGCUGGGGCCUCUGACACUGGACAAAUCAUGGGAUUCUCCACCCAUGACGAUGCCUGCUGUUGACUGCAGCCUAAGACACAUGAAGGCCCAUCACCCAGGACACCGUCUGGGGCUCCUAUACCACAGGUUGUGAGACACUGACACUGGAGAACAGAGGAAGUUGGCAGAGUGCCUGCGAGUCCCCUGGCAGAUCCCUGUCCUGGCAGAUGGGCCUUAUGUGAGUGCCCAGGACCCUUCCUCGAACCACAACUGUGCCAGGGACAGCACACCACCCACACCAUCCCACCAACUGCCCCCUGGGCUUGAGCUGUGAACUCAGAUUCCUCUGAGGAACCUGCUUCCAGUCCUGCUGCGGGGCAGUGAGAAGUGGGGAAAAGCCUGGCAGCUCAACAACCUGAGGCCCAAGAUGGUGAUCGCUGCACUGCCGUGAACUGCUCCCACUGCCGGGCAAUGAGGAGAAACGGCUGUCGCCUUCCACAGGGAGCCUGCCUUGAUCUCUGUGAUCAGGAAUGUGGCUGAGCAAAUGGAGCUUGUACCUCCAGGAUGGACGUGCCUCCCAGAUGCUAGUUGCUAGAAGAGUCCUGGCAGUGGAGGGAAAGUUGGCUCUGCA